rnacentral:misc_RNA from 1 species
GAUGAAGAACGUAGUGAAACGCGAUAUUUCUUGUGAAUUGCAGAAGUGAAUCAUCAGUUUUUGAACGCACAUUGCACUUUGGGGUAUCCCCCAAAGUAUACUUGUUUGAGCGUUGUUUCUCUCUUGGAAUUGCUUUGCUCUUCUAAAAUUUCGAAUCAAAUUCGUUUGAAAAACAACACUAUUCAACCUCAGAUCAAGUAGGAUUACCCGCUGAACUUAAGCAUAUCAUAAGCGGAGGA